UUUCUUUCAGGUAAAUAGUGAAAUACUGUUAUAGAGACUAUACUAUAUUAUUAUUAUUAUUUUUUGGUACCGGGCAUCAAACUCAGGUCCUUACGCUUGCACAGCAGGUGAUGAAACCACUGAGCUAAAUACCCGGCCCAAUAUUAUAGAGAGCAUUGCAGUAUCAGAUAAUGUUGGGGUAUCUUGGCAUUUUUAAAAUCUGUCUUUCACAGGAUGAUGUCUUCAAUCCAUAAAUGGAAGAAGAUUUAGGGGUUAACUGGUCUUCUAUUUCUAGUAGAAUUAAUACGAGUGCUGUAGUCUGGAUCUUGAAUAUCCCAACAACCCAUGUGUUGAAGGCUUGGUUUCCAGCCCCUAGCACUAUUGGAAGGUGCUGGAACUGAGAGGGUAUGGGAACUGGUGGAAGGAUGUCAAGUCAUUGGGGGCAUGCUUAGAACGGGAAAGGAGGGCCUCUGUACUUCCUUUUCCUCUCUCUGUGCUCUCUGGCUGUGGUAGGUCGAGCAGCUUUUCUUUAACACACACUCUCCACCAUGAUACGCUGCCUCACUGCAGGCCCAAAGCAACAGAGCCAGAUAAUCAUGGACCCAGAACCUCUGAAACUAUCUUCCUCCUCUACUUUCUGGCCCAUCAAGAGAAGGAUCCUGUAGGAGGGACAUACAUGGCUCUGUCUGCUGAAACAAGGCCAGCAUGCAACUCUCUCAUUAAAGAUGAACUCUCACAUCCUCAUGCAAAACCCCAAAGAAUAAAGAGGGUGAAGUAGAAGGCUCUUGCUGUUCCACAGGAUUCCUAGGGGAACUUUCUGAAAUCCUAGGAUUCUGGUCCACAUGCAUAAAUUUCACUGUUGAUGAGGUUCAGUGUGAUACUUCCAUACGUGUAUGCACUGAUCAGAUCCACGCUUCCUCAACUACUCUCUCUCCCAGUUGUGAAUUAUUGUUCCAGAAGGC
rnacentral:lncRNA from 1 species